rnacentral:rRNA from 1 species
AUUGAACGCUGGCGGCAUGCCUUACACAUGCAAGUCGAACGGUAACGGGUCCUUCGGGAUGCCGACGAGUGGCGAACGGGUGAGUAAUAUAUCGGAACGUGCCCAGUAGUGGGGGAUAACUGCUCGAAAGAGCAGCUAAUACCGCAUACGACCUGAGGGUGAAAGGGGGGGGUCCGAAGAACUCCUGCUAUUGGAGUCGGCUAUAUCAGAUUCACUAGUUUGGGGGGUAAAGGCCUACCAAGGCAACGAUCUGUAGUUGGUCUGAGAGGGCGACCAGGCACACUGGGUCUGAGACACGGCCCAGACUCCUACGGGAGUGAGCAGUGGGGAAUUUUGGACAAUGGGCGCAAGCCUGAUCCAGCAAUGCCGCGUGCAGGAAGAAGGCCUGCGGGUUGUAAACUGCUUUUGUCAGGGAAGAAAUCUUCUGGGCUAAUACCCCGGGAGGAUGACGGUACCUGAAGAAUAAGCACAGGCUAACUACGUGCCAGCCGCCGCAGUAA